AUGAACGCUGGCGGCGUGCCUUAUACAUGCAAGUCGUACGGGUUUCGGUAGUAAUACCGGAAUCAGUGGCGAACGGCUGAGUAACACGCAGGAACGACCUUCAAGUUGGGAAUAACCCGCCGAAAGGCGGACUAAUACCCGAUGUGUCCGCAAGGACAAAGUCUUGAUGCAAAUCGGGGCGCUUGAAGCUCGGCCUGCUCACCAUCAGGUAGUUGGUAGGGUAAUGGCCUACCAAGCCUAUGACGGUUAGAGGGCCCGAGAGGGUGUACCUCCAGACGGGGACUGCGACACGGCCCCGACUCCUACGGGAGGCAGCAGUAGGGAAUUUUGGACAAUGGGCGAAAGCCUGAUCCAGCGACGCCGCGUGCGGGACGAAGGCCUUCGGGUCGUAAACCGCUUUUGUUGCCGAACAAUUUUUGAGCGUAGGCAGCGAAUAAGAGGUUGCUAACUCUGU
rnacentral:rRNA from 1 species